CCAGAAUAGAUCUGGAGGGAGGCGGCAUCGGCCAUAGAGCGGAGGGAGGAGGGAGAUCGCCUUGUUGCCUGCGCCGCGGACAGGAGGAGGCUGGAAGACAUGAUAAGUCUGCCCUUCGCGAGAGCAUAACUGCAAAACUACAUCAGAAGGCAUCUGAGAUCAGCAGCACCCCCCAUCGUCAUUGCCUUUGUUUUGGCCAGAGAGCUGGGUAUCUAUCUAGUCACUCACUGACCAACCACUCUGAACAAGAAGCAUCUCUCCACUAACAAGCAGCCAUCAAAUCGGCAAAUAAACAAGUGCUCAGUUGUGGCCAUGGCUUUCGCCAUAUUCAAUGGGUAUGCUUCUCAAUCUGAGCAAUGUUUCCCAAGGAUCACAAAUUUGGGAGGGAUUUUCUAGCUGAUAUUUGGAUUGCACAGGGAUAUGUGGAGGGG